rnacentral:rRNA from 1 species
AACGAACGCUGGCGGCAGGCUUAACACAUGCAAGUCGAACGAGAUCUUCGGAUCUAGUGGCAGACGGGUGAGGAACACGUGGGAACAUCCCUUUCAGUUCGGAAUAACGUUGGGAAACUAACGCUAAUACCGGAUACGUCCUUCGGGAGAAAGAUUUAUCGCUGAAAGAUUGGCCCGCGUCUGAUUAGCUAGUUGGUGAGGUAACGGCUCACCAAGGCUACGAUCAGUAGCUGAUCUGAGAGGAUGAUCAGCCACAUUGGGACUGAGACACGGCCCAAACUCCUACGGGAGGCAGCAGUGGGGAAUAUUGGACAAUGGGCGCAAGCCUGAUCCAGCCAUGCCGCGUGAGUGAUGAAGGCCUUCGGGUUGUAAACUCCUUUCGCUAUCGACGAAGCCACUUGUGGUGACGGUAGGUAGAUAAGAAGCACCGGCUAACUACGUGCCAGCAGCCGCCGUAA